CCACACAUAAGAAUCCCAGGCAAAAUUUUGUAGACUCCAUGAUCUUAUCUUUGCACCUCAACGUAAUCAUAAAACACUUGGAAGUCUAUUCAUCUCAUAUUACAUGUAAAUCAAGUGUUAUAUACCUAACAAAUUUGAACUUGUAAUUCGCAAACACUAAUUUAACAAACAAUGCAAGAACAUGCAGCUCAACUAAAACACAAAGAACAAACAAAUAUGUGAGCCAGCAGAUCAAGAAUAGGCACAAGAAGAGAAGAGGAGACUGGACUUACAGGCGGAUCAACUAGAGAGGAAGGCAAUCUAAGAGGCAAACCAUAUGGUUAAAGCAAUAACGGUGACACGCUAAGACGAAGACAGCCCC